UACAGAGGUCCCGAGCGUUGUUCGGAUUCAUUGGGCGUAAAGGGUGCGUAGGCGGCGGGGUAAGUUUGAUGUGAAAUCCCGGGGCUCAACCCUGGAAUUGCAUUGAAUACUACCUUGCUAGAGUACCGGAGAGGAAACUGGAAUUUACGGUGUAGCAGUGAAAUGCGUAGAGAUCGUAAGGAAGACCAGUGGCGAAGGCGAGUUUCUGGACGGUAACUGACGCUGAGCACGAAGGCCAGGGGAGCAAACGGG
rnacentral:rRNA from 1 species